rnacentral:piRNA from 1 species
AUCCUGUUCCACACCAUCAUCCAAGAGGC